UACGGGGGGGGUAAGCGUUGUUCGGAAUUACUGGGCGUAAAGGGCUCGUAGGCGGCCAACUAAGUCGGACGUGAAAUCCCUCAGCUUAACUGGGGAACUGCGUCCGAUACUGGAUGGCUUGGAUUUGGGAGAGGGAUGCGGAAUUCCAGGUGUAGCGGUGAAAUGCGUAGAUAUCCGAAGGAACAUCAGUGGCGAAAGCGACUUCCUGGACCAGAACUGACGAUCAGGCACGAAAGCGUGGGGAGCAAACAGG
rnacentral:rRNA from 1 species